ACGAAACCCUUCGCUCGAAGUGCGGGAACCCGGUGCGAGUCCGGGGCGGUUCCGCCACUGUGACACCCCCGGCGGGGUGCAGCCAGACACCGGCUCCGAGCGUUCCGACCAC
rnacentral:ncRNA from 2 species